GUACUUCCCUGGCAGGGGAGAUGCCAUGAUUACGAAGGAAGGUGGUUUUCUAAGGGUGAGGCUUAUCCAUCACAUUCCUGUUGCACUGACUCCCACAACUUCUCCAAAUGUGGGAACCUCAAAUGCAUAAUUUGUUGUAGGGGGGGACUGCUUUUGUGCUCUCCUCUG
rnacentral:snRNA from 1 species